rnacentral:rRNA from 1 species
AUUGAACGCUGGCGGCAGGCUUAACACAUGCAAGUCGAGCGGAGCGAGGGUGCUUGCACCUUAGCUUAGCGGCCGACGGGUGAGUAAUGCUUAGGAAUCUGCCUAUCAGUGGGGGACAACAUUCCGAAAGGGAUGCUAAUACCGUAUACGACCUACGGGGGAAAUCAGAGGAUCUUCGGAUUUUGCGCUCACAGAUUGCCGUAGGGCGUAUUAGGUAGUUGGUGGGGUACAGGGCUACCAAGGCGACGAUCUGUAGCGGGUCUGAGAGGAUGAUCCGGAACACUGGGACUGAGACACAGGCCAGGCUCCUACGGGAGGCAGCAGGGGGGGAUAGUAGACAAGGGGCGGGAGCCUGAUCCAGCAAUGGCGCGUGUGUGAAGAAGGCUUUUUGGUUGUGAAGCAAUUGAAGCGAGGAGAAGGCUCUUAAGGUGGAUACCCUUGAUGGGUGGACGUUACUCGCAGAAUAAGCACCGGCUAACUCUGUGCCAGCAGCCGCGGUAA